GAUGAACGCUGGCGGCGUGCCUAAUACAUGCAAGUCGAGCGAACAGACGAGGAGCUUGCUCCUCUGACGUUAGCGGCGGACGGGUGAGUAACACGUGGAUAACCUACCUAUAAGACUGGGAUAACUUCGGGAAACCGGAGCUAAUACCGGAUAACAUGUUGAACCGCAUGGUUCAACAGUGAAAGACGGUUUUGCUGUCACUUAUAGAUGGAUCCGCGUCGCAUUAGCUAGUUGGUAAGGUAACGGCUUACCAAGGCAACGAUGCGUAGCCGACCUGAGAGGGUGAUCGGCCACACUGGAACUGAGACACGGUCCAGACUCCUACGGGAGGCAGCAGUAGGGAAUCUUCCGCAAUGGGCGAAAGCCUGACGGAGCAACGCCGCGUGAGUGAAGAAGGUCUUCGGAUCGUAAAGCUCUGUUAUUAGGGAAGAACAAAUGUGUAAGUAACUAUGCACGUCUUGACGGUACCUAAUCAGAAAGCCACGGCUAACUACGUG
rnacentral:rRNA from 1 species